UACAGAGGGUGCAAGCGUUGUUCGGAAUUACUGGGCGUGAAGCGCGCGCAGGCGGGUUUGUAAGUCGGGAGUGAAAUCUCACUGCUCAACGGUGGGGCCGCUUCUGAUACUGCAAAUCUUGAGACCGGUAGAGGUUGGUAGAAUUGCAGGUGUAGCGGUGGGAUGCGUAGAGAUCUGCAAGAAUACCCGUGGCGAAGGCGGCCAACUGGGCCGGUUCUGACGCUGAGGCGCGAAAGCGUGGGGAGCAAACAGG
rnacentral:rRNA from 1 species